rnacentral:rRNA from 1 species
AACGAACGCUGGCGGCAGGCCUAACACAUGCAAGUCGAACGCACCGCAAGGUGAGUGGCGCACGGGUGAGUAACACGUGGGAAUGUACCCUUUGGUUCGGAAUAACGUCUGGAAACGGACGCUAAUACCGGAUGAGCCCUGCGGGGGAAAGAUUUAUCGCCAAAGGAGCAGCCCGCGUCUGAUUAGCUAGUUGGUGGGGUAAAGGCCUACCAAGGCGACGAUCAGUAGCUGGUCUGAGAGGAUGAUCAGCCACACUGGGACUGAGACACGGCCCAGACUCCUACGGGAGGCAGCAGUGGGGAAUAUUGGACAAUGGGCGGAAGCCUGAUCCAGCCAUGCCGCGUGAGUGAUGAAGGCCUUCGGGUUGUAAAGCUCUUUCGCACGCGACGAUGAUGACGGUAGCGUGAGAAGAAGCACCGGCUAACUACGUGCCAGCCGCCGCAGUAAAAC